GACGAACGCUGGCGGCGUGCCUAACACAUGCAAGUCGAGCGAAUGAAGUUCCUUCGGGAAUGGAUUUAGCGGCGGACGGGUGAGUAACACGUGGGCAACCUGCCUCAUAGAGGGGAAUAGCCUUCCGAAAGGGAGAUUAAUACCGCAUAAGAUUGUAGUACCGCAUGAUACAGCAAUUAAAGGAGCAAUCCGCUAUGAGAUGGGCCCGCGGCGCAUCAGCUAGUUGGUGAGGUAACGGCUCACCAAGGCGACGAUGCGUAGCCGACCUGGGAGGGUGAGCGGCCACAUUGGGACUGAGACACGGCCCAGACUCCUACGGGAGGCAGCAGUGGGGAAAAUUGCACAAUGGGGGAAACCCUGAUGCAGCAACGCCGCGUGAGUGAUGACGGCCUUCGGGUUGUAAAGCUCCGUCUUCAGGGACGAUAAUGACGGUACCUGAGGAGGAAGCCACGGCUAACUACGUGCCAGCCGCCGCCGUAAAAC
rnacentral:rRNA from 1 species